AUACCUUUCUCGGCCUUUUGGCUAAGAUCAAGUGUAGUAUCUGUUCUUAUCAGUUUAAUAUCUGAUACGUGGACCAUUGGUUCACAUGAUAUUAAAUUUGUUUUUUAAAGGGAAGAGUCCAUCACCAUAGCUUGCUACUGGUUCUCUCAAGUGUCGCCCAUGCUUUUUUGCACUACUGCACGGGCUUGGCGCACCCCAC